CCCUUAGUAGCGGCGAGCGAAACGGGAAGAGCCCAAACCAACAAGCUUGCUUGUUGGGGUUGUAGGACACUCUAUACGGAGUUACAAAGGACGACAUUAGACGAAUCAUCUGGAAAGAUGAAUCAAAGAAGGUAAUAAUCCUGUAGUCGAAAAUGUUGUCUCUCUUGAGUGGAUCCUGAGUACGACGGAGCACGUGAAAUUCCGUCGGAAUCUGGGAGGACCAUCUCCUAAGGCUAAAUACUCUCUAGUGACCGAUAGUGAACCAGUACCGUGAGGGAAAGGUGAAAAGCACCCCGGAAGGGGAGUGAAAUAGAACCUGAAACCGUGUGCUUACAAGUAGUCAGAGCCCGUUAAUGGGUGAUGGCGUGCCUUUUGUAGAAUGAACCGGCGAGUUACGAUUUGAUGCAAGGUUAAGCAGUAAAUGUGGAGCCGUAGCGAAAGCGAGUCUGAAUAGGGCGUUUAGUAUUUGGUCGUA
rnacentral:rRNA from 1 species